rnacentral:rRNA from 1 species
CCUACGGGAGGCUGCAGUGAGGAAUAUUGGUCAAUGGCCGGAAGGCUGAACCAGCCAAGCCGCGUGAAGGACGAAGGUGCCAAGCAUUGUAAACUUCUUUUGUCAAGGGACAAAAUCAGGCUCGAGAGCCUGACCGAGGGUACUUGAAGAAAAAGCAUCGGCUAACUCCGUGCCAGCAGCCGCGGUAAUACGGGGGAUGCGAGCGUUAUCCGGAUUUAUGGGGUUUAAAGGGUGCGUAGGCGGACUGUUAAGUCAGCGGUAAAAGCCCGGGGCUCAACCUCGGCGAGCCGGUGAAACUGGCUGUCUUGAGAUGUCGAGAGGUAUGCGGAAUGCGCAGUGUAGCGGUGAAAUGCUUAGAUAUUGCGCAGAACUCCGAGUGCGAAGGCAGCAUACCGGCGGCGAUCUGACGCUGAGGCACGAAAGCGUGGGUAUCGAACAGGAUUAGAUACCCUUGUAGUC